GCAAGUCUGGUGCCAGCAGCCGCGGUAAUUCCAGCUCCAAUAGCGUAUAUUAAAGUUGUUGCAGUUAAAACGUCCGUAGUCAAACUUUAGUCUUACCGGCGUAGUGGCCUGGUCUUCAUUGACCAAGCUCAUUGCUGCCGGAGACUCCACGUCCAUUGACUCCUAGUCCUCGUGGCUAGGGUUUUCUGGACAAUUAUCAUGAGCAAAUCAGAGUGUUUAAAGCAGGCUUUUAAGCUUGAAUGUGUUAGCAUGGAAUAAUGAAAUAUGACUUUAGUCCUAUUUUCGUUGGUUUAGGUACUUCAGUAAUGAUGAAUAGAAACGGUUAGGGGCAUUUGUAUUUGGUCGCUAGAGGUGAAAUUCUUGGAUUGACCGAAGACAAACUACUGCGAAAGCAUUGCCAA
rnacentral:rRNA from 1 species